AAUGAGUCUUAUAUUAAUAUUACAAAACAUAACUUCAACAUUGAAAAUUACAAAUAAAAGUGAAUAUAGAACUACUUGCAUCAAAUCUUUUAACACCUGUACUUAUGUUUUCGUGUUUCCAAAAACAGUACAUGUCCUCAGAAUUUUACUUCAAAUUCUACAUUUUACCUUCUAAACUACUCCUGUUCGUCUGAUAACUAUACACAAGUAACAUAGAUUCUUGGUGAUCUAAAGAAGACUGCUGUAUACGAUGAAAAGUGCAGCCUCACCCUCCUCCCCAGAUCACACAUGGAUUAUGAAAUAUUCAAAUACCAAAUUUUAUGAAGCUUCCAAGAUAAGUGGGCAGGAUAUAUUAACAUUCGUCUCGGGGAGUUCCUGGGAAGUAGUGCAAGGAACAACUAAAAUGCAAUCUCUUGAAGAAUUUGAAGUGUGUUCUGAUGAACCCAUUCAAGAUGCUGUGCUGUAACUCCAGAGACAUUUCCUCCAUAUAUGCCACCUAACACCUUAGAAACUGUUUCAAGAAACAUGCCAGGACGCACAGGUGAUGGUUUUCGCCCACUUACACUUGCCCUUCCUGCAAUUCCACCAGCAGCACCAACUUCAUCAUUCGAACUGUCUGCACCUUCUUCUUUACCAAGCAUCACGUUUUUUAUCAUGUCGCGUACUGCUUUCCCUGGUCUUAGGGAAACAAGUUCAGUUAAAAAGUUCACCUCUGAUUCAGGAAGAAUAUUAAGGCCACGAUCAUUUCUUUCGUCAAGUAUUCCACCUCCCAUCAUGUUCCUAGCUUCUUCUCUGAUUAAAACUAACCUUGCUAGUAACUUCCUGUCAGGGAUAACAGAACGAGAUUCCAUCGUCUCCAGAAUAUCAUCCGCUUGGUUAGCUAUAUCAUUCAAAUUUGCCCCAGGAAGAUGGACUUUUGUCCCAUUCUCACUUUGAAAUACUCCACCACCAGCAGCAACUCGCCUGAGCAAUUCAUGUCUGCUUUCUUUUUGAGGAGUUCUACAGAGCAGGCCUAUGACUUGAACAUGAGGGGGGCACUUCUUGGUAAGAUGGGAUAAUACAGUCUCCUUGAUAACUUCCAAGAGUGAUUUGCGCUUAUCAUCCUGGUCGUUGUCAGCAGUUUGGAUCAUGUAAUCAAGGGCCAUCAUGAACCCGGACUCCAUUUCAUCAACUCUUUUCCCAAUCACUCCUUGUGCAGCCAAUUGCACUGCUACCUCCUCAGAUGCUUCAUCCAUCUUCAUAUCUUCCAAUAGCUUGGCCAUUUCUUCAAGGACGGAGGUAACUUGUUCACCACCUUUAAGAAGAACUUGAUACUGAGAAGUAUCAAAAUCUCCGACUUCAUGUCCAUGAUUUUCCAUUCUUCCAUUUUGAGCUCCGAAUUCCUCCGCCAAAGAACCUGCGCCGACCUCGUUACUCGUACAUAAUGCCGAAAGGUUCAGUCUGCAGGAUGUCUUCAGCUGCAAUGAAUACUGAUUGGGGAUUUCCGGUUGAAGAAAAUAGUAUAGUGAUGGAGUCGAGUAACGAGAUAGACUUGCAGGAGUAGCUCCACAGAAAACGAUAGGGAUGGACAGAAAUGCCAUGGAUGAAAUGACCAACGACGGAAUUACAAUCUUUUCUUUUGGGGGGUGGAAAUGGAGAUAUUGCGGGAGAGGGGUAAGAUCAUUG
rnacentral:misc_RNA from 1 species